CUAGUAGUCUGCCGAAAGCACAUCCACACUGGCUGGAUCGGCUGGAGAGUGAGGAGUAGGGGAAGGCACUGAAGGAGGGGGCGGUGGUGGUGGCACAGGAUCCGUGAAACAACCUGCUAAAUCAAACUCCAUGUCAUCAAUGAAGCACUGAGAUUGUGCCCGGAAUCCGCCAUCUUUUGUAUUUGCUCCACCAUGAGGUCCGUUUGGGUGGCCUGCCUAUCC
rnacentral:lncRNA from 1 species